rnacentral:rRNA from 1 species
CAGUCGCCGCGGGAAUACGGAGGGUGCAAGCGUUAAUCGGAAUUACUGGGCGUAAAGCGCACGCAGGCGGUCUGACAAGUCAGAUGUGAAAUCCCCGGGCUUAACCUGGGAACUGCAUUUGAAACUGUCAGGCUGGAGUCUUGUAGAGGGGGGUGGAAUUCCAGGUGUAGCGGUGAAAUGCGUAGAGAUCUGGAGGAAUACCGGUGGCGAAGGCGGCCCCCUGGACAAAGACUGACGCUCAGGUGCGAAAGCGUGGGGAGCAAACAGGAUUAGAUACCCCUGUAGUCCCUGUCUCUUAUAU